CCCGGGGUGAGGGGACCCGAAGUCCUGAGGCGCGCCGGAAGGGCUAGCGGUCCCAGCAUACCCCGCGGCCCCUUGGGCCGUCUCACAACUCGCGUCCAGCGGAGACCACAAUUCCCGGCAUUCGUGGGGCGAGGAGGAGUCGGCCUCCCGGAAUCCUGGUCCCGGCGUGCACUUCUGGAGGACUUCAGUACAACUUCAUCGCAGAUGUGGUGGAGAAGACAGCACCUGCCGUGGUCUAUAUCGAGAUCCUGGACCGGCACCCUUUCUUGGGCCGCGAAGUCCCUAUCUCGAACGGCUCAGGAUUCGUGGUGGCUGCCGAUGGGCUCAUUGUCACCAACGCCCAUGUGGUGGCUGAUCGGCGCAGAGUCCGUGUGAGACUGCUUAGCGGCGACACGUAUGAGGCCGUGGUCACAGCUGUGGAUCCCGUGGCAGACAUCGCAACGCUGAGGAUUCAGACUAAGGAGCCUCUCCCCACGCUGCCUCUGGGACGCUCAGCGGAUGUCCGGCAAGGGGAGUUUGUUGUUGCCAUGGGAAGUCCCUUUGCACUGCAGAACACGAUCACAUCCGGCAUUGUUAGCUCUGCUCAGCGUCCAGCCAGAGACCUGGGACUCCCCCAAACCAAUGUGGAAUACAUUCAGACUGAUGCAGCUAUUGAUUUUGGAAACUCUGGAGGUCCCCUGGUUAACCUGGAUGGGGAGGUGAUUGGAGUGAACACCAUGAAGGUCACAGCUGGAAUCUCCUUUGCCAUCCCUUCUGAUCGUCUUCGAGAGUUUCUGCAUCGUGGGGAAAAGAAGAAUUCCUCCUCUGGAAUCAGUGGGUCCCAGCGGCGCUACAUUGGGGUGAUGAUGCUGACCCUGAGUCCCAGCAUCCUUGCUGAACUACAGCUUCGAGAACCAAGCUUUCCCGAUGUUCAGCAUGGUGUACUCAUCCAUAAAGUCAUCCUGGGCUCCCCUGCACACCGGGCUGGUCUGCGGCCUGGUGAUGUGAUUUUGGCCAUUGGGGAGCAGAUGGUACAAAAUGCUGAAGAUGUUUAUGAAGCUGUUCGAACCCAAUCCCAGCUGGCAGUGCAGAUCCGGCGGGGACGAGAAACACUGACCUUAUAUGUGACCCCUGAGGUCACAGAAUGAAUAGAUCACCAAGAGUAUGAGGCUUCUGCUCUGAUUUCCUCCUUGCCUUCCUGGCUGAGGCUCUGAGGGCGCCGGGACAGAGGGUUAAAUGAACCAGUGGGGGCAGGUCCCUCCAACCACCAGCACUGACUCCUGGGCUCUGAAGAAUCACAGAAACACUUUUUAUA
rnacentral:sRNA from 1 species